rnacentral:rRNA from 1 species
UAAGGCAGUGUAGGUGGCCUAAAGGCAAGAUGUCCUAUCUGAUCUUGGAAGCUAAGCAGGAUCAGCCCUGAUUAAUACUUGGGUAGGAGACUACCAGUGAAUACCAGGUGCUGUUGGCU